GGACCUUGAGAUCAUGACCUGAGCUGAAGGCAUACACUUAACCGACUGAACCAUCCAGUUAAGAUUGAUGCUUAGAUAUUGAUGAAAGUCAGAAAAUCUUUAUAGAUUGUGUCCGUUGCUAUCAUAAGUGUUUUUAUUUGUCUUGUCCAGUAUUUUUACUCUGAAUUCUACUUGCCUGAUACAGUAAUGGUGGCCACUGGUUUUUUGUUAUUGUUGUUUUUUGUUUUCUUUUCAUUUCCUAAGAUACUUUUUUCUUAUUUUUUACCAUCUGCUUUUCUUAGUCACUUUGUUUAGGUGUGUCCUCGAUUUAUGCUUUGUGAACUUGAUGAUGACCUUUUAAUUUGGGAAGUUUGCCUUUCUGUUUUUAGAACAUUUAGUAGUUACUUCUGUAAGUAUAACUGAAUAUAACAUAUUUAAUAUGUUAUUUAUUUUGAUAGUAUCAAUUGACUCUCCACUGUGAGGCCACAAGAAAUUAACAUAUCCUACCUAAUUCCUUUUAGAUCUUCUUUUCUUUCUUCUCAUUGUUACCAAUACAAUAGUUGAUGUUAUUUUCUUGGUUCUUGAAUAGUAUUUAGCUUUAUGACAUGAAAAAGACGCAACUUAGUUACCUGAUUUGUUAGCUCUUAAAUUAAUGGAUUGAGUCCUGGCUAUAAAAUGAAUUAUACACCUUCCUAGCCUUCCCCAAACUUCUUUAAAUUUUGUUCUUGUUGUACAUAUGUGUAUUUCCAUUCUUUUGGUUUUAGGAUUAAUCUUUAAGAGAUAUUCAAAAGGCAAAACUGUCUAUAUAUCACAUCCUCAAAAGUGGAAAUCCAAAAAUAAUUUCAUGUCUCUAAAAGCAAAUACAUUUUAAAAGGUAUGGAUAUUUUCCUAUAGUCACCAAAGAGUUAACCAAGGAUUUUAAGAAGGAAUUUAGACAGAGUAAGUCCUGUACAGCACAGAAAAGAAUAAAUUGAAUGCUAUAAGAGUGGUAUAAAAGAACUCAAUUCUUACAGAAUAUCAAUUGUGCAGAAAUUUAAAUUGUGUCAUUAAAGUAGUUAUUAUGUAUGUAAUAAUGUUGCAUGAAAAUAUUGCAAGGCAAAGAUAAUAUUUGUGAAGUGGAAUAAGAAUGGUUUGUUUCAGCUUCACCUGCAUAGUGCCUAAUAUAAACACAUUUCUGUUUGCUCACUAGAAAGAAUUAGUUGAAUACACAUUCUCUGGACAGUUUGACAUACAGUCAAGAGGAGUAUCUCUGUGAUUGUAAGCCUCUGGGAUCACACUUGAAUUUAUGCUAAGAGAUGAGAUGAUUCAGCAUUUGGACGACUCACCAGAAAGAUCAACCAGGAACAGGGAAGAUAAUCAUAGGAGGGAGCAGUGGUAGAGAGUAUGUCUCUUGCUGCUGCACAGAACACACAUAGCAGGUGAUGAUACCAAACAGCUAACUCCCAGAGGGAGCUGAAUGGCAUGGCACAUGUGGAUUCAUCUACUAGACCACGAAUACUUUGAAAGGAAAAUAUCAAUCUCCAACUUAUGUAUAGGACCUGAAAGAAUAUUUUGCACAUGGUGUUUGCUCAAUAAGUUUUUGUAUGGCAGGAAAGAGAGAGAGGAGAAAGGGAGAAAAAGAGGAAAGAAGGGAAUCCAGUUAUUGUCGCACGUAUUUUCCCUUAUCUGGAAUACUUUAUUUACCCCAACCAAUCCCAGCUAACUCCUUUAUCUAACUAACUCCUACUCCUUUAGGACUUACUCAUCAAUAUCGCUUUCUCUAGGUUCUUUGACCAUAAUUCAAGGUAGAAUUCUCGGCUGCAUGCACCUAUCUCACCCUGGUUACAUAAGGAUAAUCUGCAGUGUUUUAUGUAAAUCAUGUUAAAUGUAUGACUUCAUCAUUUAGUAAGCUUAUGUCACAUAUGAUAGUGACAUGUUAUUCUCUGGCAUAGUCAUAGGUCUUUAUUAAAUAUGCAUCAAAUGAAUGAUUUACUUAUUUAGAUCUCUUGGACAGAAGGGCCAUAUACGUGCAUCUUAUACAAAGAACACGUGAAGGACUAAAGAAAAGAACAGCAUGAUCUGUGUGUUCUACGAUGGUAGAGGAAGAGAGAGAAAGUUUCUGUCCGUGAUACAGAAAGAACCAGAAAGAAGGCAGCUACAAGGAUUCAAAUUUGGGGGCAAAAAAAAGAGAAUAACCUCACCUGAAGUAGGUUUUAAAAAUUUUAUACAACUUGGGCAAUACUGUUUGCUUACUUGUCUGCUUUUGUCAUCAUACUGUAUGUUACAUCCCCAUGACUUAUUUAUUUCAUGAUGGGAAGUUUGUGCUUUUUGAUCACCUUCACCUAUUUGCCCAAUCCCUGCCUCUGGCUAACACCAAUCUGUUUUCCAUACCUAUGAGCUUGGUUUUUGUUUUUGUUUAGAUUCCACAUAUAAGUGAGAGAAGAUGUUAUUUGUUUUUCUCUGACUGAUUUCAAUCAGCAAAAUAUCCUCAAGUUUCAUCCGUGUAGUUGCAAAUGGCAAAAGUUCAUUCUUUAUGGUUCUUUAUCCAUUUAUCUGUUGAUGGGCACUGAUGUUUUUUCCAUAUCUUGGCUAUUGUAAAUAGGGCACAGAACAUGGGGAUGCAGAUAUCUUUUCAAGACAUAUUUGUUUGUAACCAUCCAGACAGUAUUCUAAAGAUGUAAAUAUAUGAUCAUGUGUGUGUUUAUGCAUUGUAUAUGAUAAAAAUGAACUUAUUUAAUAUACUGUUUUAUAACUUACUUUUUAUUGUAACAUUAUUAUUAGAAUAUUUCCACAUCAGACUAUAGAUACACAGAUAGAUGGAUCCAGUUACUAUCGGUAUAAAUACAUGUAUUUAUCCAGUGAAUAUAAAUCUCAUCCUUCAUAAGAUAUACAGUAUUCCAUUAUAUAGAUGCUAUACUUUUUAAAUCAAUUCUCUUUUAUUGGUCAUUGGCUUGUUCACAGCUUUUCACAUGUUUUCCAUGUUUUAAUAUAAAACUUUUUUGUUUUAUUAUAAAACAUGUGCAAUGAACAUAAUAUUCUGGAAACAACACAGUAGAGGCAUUGCAGAAAUUAUUUCUUUAGGUGAUUUGUUAAUAUAGAAUUAUUAGGUUAAUGAGCAACCAUAGGGGGUAGUAUAUUUCCCACUACUCAAGAUAUUGAUGUAAGAUUGAAUGUCUAUUUUGUAGGGGCACAGUAGAGAAGAAAUCAACAUUAGAUCAGAAGAGAAGUAGAGGUUCUAAAAUUCUUUCUAAUUUUGAUAUUCUGUGAUUCUCUGAGUGCUAAGGACAGACUCAACCUUUUGCUUCUCUCUGUAACACACUUGGGAGAAGAAACUAUGAAUUAUUUAUAUUAAUAUCCAGUUUAUAUUAGUCUCAUGUCCAUGGAUGUAAAAUUGUUCUGAGAUUCUGUAUCUCUAAGAUACAUUUAAUGGUGUCAUAAAGUCCAUGAUCUUCACACAUUGGGGGAAUAUGUCUUCAUCUCAGUUCUACCUAAAAAUGAUUUUCCUGACAAGGGGAAGGGACUUAAAUUCCCACCCCACUUCCUCAGCAUGGGAGAAUACAGACUCAAUGAGAAGCCUGAGAUCCAUAGAACAUAACAAAAAGAGAAAGGAAACAUUAUGC